rnacentral:rRNA from 1 species
UGGGGAAUAUUGCACAAUGGGGGAAACCCUGAUGCAGCGACGCCGCGUGAGCGAAGAAGGCUUUCGAGUCGUAAAGCUCUGUCCUAUGAGAAGAUAAUGACGGUAUCAUAGGAGGAAGCCCUGGCUAAAUACGUGCCAGCAGCCGCGGUAAUACGUAUGGGGCGAGCGUUGUCCGGAAUUAUUGGGCGUAAAGGGUACGUAGGUGGUUUUUUAAGUCAGGUGUCAAAGCGUGGAGCUUAACUCCAUUAAGCACUUGAAACUGAAAGACUGGAGUGAAGGAGAGGAAAGUGGAAUUCCUAGUGUAGCGGUGAAAUGCGUAGAUAUUAGGAGGAAUACCGGUGGCGAAGGCGACUUUCUGGACUUUUACUGACGCUCAGGUACGAAAGCGUGGGUAGCAAACAGG